UACGUAGGGUGCAAGCGUUUGUCCGGAAUUAUUGGGCGUAAAGAGCUCGUAGGCGGUUCGUCGCGUCUGCCGUGAAAGUCCGGGGCUCAACUCCGGAUCUGCGGUGGGUACGGGCAGACUAGAGUGCAGUAGGGGAGACUGGAAUUCCUGGUGUAGCGGUGAAAUGCGCAGAUAUCAGGAGGAACACCGAUGGCGAAGGCAGGUCUCUGGGCUGUAACUGACGCUGAGGAGCGAAAGCAUGGGGGAGCGAACAGG
rnacentral:rRNA from 1 species